GGCUCUCAGGGUUAUGCAGCUGGCUCUUCAGUGGCAGACCCACAUCUGAACUGACACCCUUUGAACUCCAAAUCUGCUGUGCCACAUCUCAUCCUAAUAUGCUUUUAAUUUUUUUUUAAAUGUCUCCAGAAGUCAGCGGGUGUCAACUGCCUACGAGCUUCCCAAAGACUCGAAACUCAGUUUAAAAAACAAUAGUGCUUCUGUGUUCACUGCCCCAUUUGAGAAUUCUAAGUAGAAUUCUGAACAGGCUGGAGCAGAUUGCCCACCCCAAGGGACAGAUGUUGGCUGGUACUGUUGGUGUUCAUGGAAGAUUCCUUCUGACACUCCCUCCUUCUUUGUAAUUGCCCUGAACUGGAGCACUGGGCCAAUAUAAAUCAUCCAAGGAUGAACACGCUGCACACGGACGGCUCCUCUUUGUUUUUGAAGGGAUUCCAUCUCUAUUCUCUUGCCAUGUGCUUCUUCACCCCACUCCCCACCCCCGUCUUUCAUUUCUUUCUCUGGAAAAGAUACUUCAACUCACAGGACUGGGAUGUUGAAACGGACACCCAAGAGCAUCACAGAUGGGCCAGGCCUGGACCUCUCGGGACAACAUUCCUCACGACUUUUAGAAGAGAUUAGAGAUUUGGGACUGGUGGCAACUGGUAACGUUUUCAGUGUUUGGUAAACAGCCAGGGUCCGGAGCUCUGGGAACAGCCUGAUUUAGCUCUUUGUUUAAGUUUUGUGUUAGAGGCUCCCAAGAAGCUGAUGCAGGGGAAAGAAAUUAACAACCAUGGCUCAUUCACAGCCAGGCAGCCAAAUGGACAGCUCUAUAAGACUCAAGCCGACAGCGGAGAGAGUGCAACCAAACAGCCUUGGCCCAGCUUUCAGAGGAGAACGUUAUUCACCCCAACUGCUCUGCAUCUGCCUGGAUGUCUGCCAAGAUCUGUGAGCACUACAGCGUUGGUAUGCUUUGGGUGAGGCCUGUGGCUAUGGCAACGAGUUGGGAGCAACCCGGUCCCUGGGAAUGAGAACAGUGUCUAAAAUCAGGCAGGCGAGGGGUUAGGGAGGAGAGGUAAAGGUUGGACUUGCCUGAAGAUGGAGCCGUUUUAUUGUUGUGGGUAAAGCUGCUACCAUUAGGGGCUGUUUACAGAGUGGGUGCAGCUCAAGCUGGGAGCAUGUUAGACUCAACUACGAUCAACCUAUUGACUUGUUCCCAUGAGACACAGA
rnacentral:lncRNA from 1 species